CCAGCCCGCUCAAGAAACUUAAAGGAAGUUGACGGGGGCCCGCACAAGCGGUGGAGCAUGUGGUUUAAUUCGAUGAUACGCGAGGAACCUUACCUGGGCUCAAAUGUAUGUUGACGUAUUCUGAAAGGGAUACUUCUUCGGACAAUAUACAAGGUGCUGCAUGGUUGUCGUCAGCUCGUGCCGUGAGGUGUCGGGUUAAGUCCCAUAACGAGCGCAACCCCUAUCAUUAGUUGCCAUCAGGUCAAGCUGGGGACUCUAAUGAAACUGCCUACGCAAGUAGUGAGGAAGGUGGGGAUGACGUCAAAUCAGCACGGCCCUUACGUCCAGGGCUACACACGUGCUACAAUGGCCGGUACAAAGGGCAGCUACCUGGUGACAGGAUGCUAAUCUCAAAAGCCGGUCUCAGUUCGGAUCGGAGUCUGCAACCCGACUCCGUGGAGCUGGAAUCGCUAGUAAUCGCGCAUCAGCCAUGGCGCGGUGAAUACGUUCCCGGGCCUU
rnacentral:rRNA from 1 species